AGUGAACGCUGGCGGUAUGCCUAACACAUGCAAGUCGAACGGCAGCACAGUAAGAGCUUGCUCUUACGGUUGGCGAGUGGCGGACGGGUGAGGAAUACAUCGGAAUCUACUUUUUCGUGGGGGAUAACGUAGGGAAACUUACGCUAAUACCGCAUACGACCUACGGGUGAAAGCAGGGGAUCUUCGGACCUUGCGCGAUUGAAUUAGCCGAUGUCGGAUUAGCUAGUUGGUGGGGUAAAGGCCCACCAAGGCGACGAUCCGUAGCUGGUCUGAGAGGAUGAUCAGCCACACUGGAACUGAGACACGGUCCAGACUCCUACGGGAGGCAGCAGUGGGGAAUAUUGGACAAUGGGCGCAAGCCUGAUCCAGCCAUACCGCGUGGGUGAAGAAGGCCUUCGGGUUGUAAAGCCCUUUUGUUGGGAAAGAAAAGCAGCAGGUUAAUACCCCGCUGUUCUGACGGUACCCAAAGAAUAAGCACCGGCUAACUUCGUG
rnacentral:rRNA from 1 species